rnacentral:rRNA from 1 species
AGAGACAGCAGUAGCCGCGGUAAUACAGAGGGUGCGAGCGUUAAUCGGAUUUACUGGGCGUAAAGCGUGCGUAGGCGGCUAAUUGAGUCGGAUGUGAAAUCCCCGAGCUUAACUUGGGAAUUGCAUUCGAUACUGGUUAGCUAGAGUGUGGGAGAGGAUGGUAGAAUUCCAGGUGUAGCGGUGAAAUGCGUAGAGAUCUGGAGGAAUACCGAUGGCGAAGGCAGCCAUCUGGCCUAACACUGACGCUGAGGUACGAAAGCAUGGGGAGCAAACAGGAUUAGAUACCCCGGUAGUCCCUGUCUCUUAUAC